rnacentral:rRNA from 1 species
GUAGGUGGCAAGCGUUGUCCGGAAUUAUUGGGCGUAAAGCGCGCGCAGGCGGUUCUUUAAGUCUGAUGUGAAAGCCCACGGCUCAACCGUGGAGGGUCAUUGGAAACUGGAGAACUUGAGUACAGAAGAGGAAAGCGGAAUUCCACGUGUAGCGGUGAAAUGCGUAGAGAUGUGGAGGAACACCAGUGGCGAAGGCGGCUCUCUGGUCUGUAACUGACGCUGAGGCGCGAAAGCGUGGGGAGCAAACAGGGAUUAGAUACCCUGGUAGUCCACGCCGUAAACGAUGAGUGCUAAGUGUUAGGGGGGUUUCCGCCCCCUUAGUGCUGCAGCUAACGCAUUAAGCACUCCGCCUGGGGAGUACGGCCGCAAGGCUG